AAUCCCUGAAAUCCAGACCCCCAACUCUCUGAUCCCAGUUAUUUGCGCCCUUAAAACUGGUUUAGGAGAGGAUUCGCUGACGUGGCAGAGGAUAAGGCCGGGUUAGGUGAGAAACUAGGAUUAGGGACGCCACCUGUACCACCCCAUGCCUCUUUCUCUGUUUCUCCGUAUAUAUUGUCUUCACGGAGCGUAUUGGCUCCGGCGACUGGCGGCGGCCAUUGGCUUCUUUUCGCAGUGGCGGGAUUCGAAGGAGAGGCGUUUGCGGGUCAGCUCGGUCGCCCAUGGAUUACGAGCCGGCCCAAUCGGGAGCAACCCAUGGAUUACGAGCCGGCCAAGAUCUGCAGCUUGUGCGGGAGGAAGGCGGCAAGGUGGAUCUCAUGGAGUCCAGCAAACCUGGACGCACGUACUAUUCGUGCGUGUUUAACCAGCACGGAUUCAUCGAGGCUGCUGUUGUUGGGUGAUCUUCGGGACAAAGUGUAGAUGCUUGAGGCUGCUGUUGCUAGUCAGUCCAGUGAGAGAGAAGUUGAUGCGUUGAGAGAGGAAUUGGAGAAGAAGACUGAAGUUAUUUCUGAAAUUAGUGCUAGCUGUGACAGGAAAGAUGUGAUUCAGAUGUAUAAAUUUGCAGUUUAUGGUUUGAUAAUCUUUGUAGCUGGUUUAGUCGCAGGGUUCAUGCUAUCUUAGUUCCUGGAGAUGUAUAAUGUGAUGCUAUCUUAAUUGCAAUGUAUUGUAUCUGAAUCAUAUUUGAAUGGAUUUGAAAAACCCAAA